GACGAACGCUGGCGGCGUGCCUAACACAUGCAAGUCGAACGGAAAGGCCCUGCUUUUGUGGGGUGCUCGAGUGGCGAACGGGUGAGUAACACGUGAGUAACCUGCCCUUGACUUUGGGAUAACUUCAGGAAACUGGGGCUAAUACCGGAUAGGAGCUCCUGCUCCAUGGUGGGGGUUGGAUAGUUUCGGCGGUUGGGGAUGGGCUCGCGGCUUAUCAGCUUGUUGGUGGGGUAGUGGCUUACCAAGGCUUUGACGGGUAGCCGGCCUGAGAGGGUGAACAGCCACAUUGGGCCUGAGAUACGGCCCAGACUCCUACGGGAGGCAGCAGUGGGGAAUAUUGCACAAUGGGCGGAAGCCUGAUGCAGCGACGCCGCGUGCGGGAUGACGGCCUUCGGGUUGUAAACCGCUUUCGCCUGUGACGAAGCGUGAGUGACGGUAAUGGAUAAAGAAGCACCGGCUAACUACGUG
rnacentral:rRNA from 1 species